rnacentral:lncRNA from 1 species
CAAAAUUAAAAUUUAACAACUCCGACUACUGAAAUUCCAUUCAAUUGCUGUGAAUAUUCAAUAAAAACACAUAAAUUGAAAAAAAAAUGAUCACUUUUUUGUUGCCCCCAUCUUCAUUUGUUUUUGGGGGUGGGAAGAAUUCUGAAUUCGAAAUUGAAAAGAAAAAAAAAAGAUGGUUGAGUAGAUGAACAACAGUAAUUACUAACAGCAAUCAAUACAAAAAACAUUAAUGU